UACGAGAGGCCCAAACGUUAUUCGGAUUUACUGGGCUUAAAGAGUUCGUAGGCGGGUUUCCAAGUCGGUUGUGAAAUCCCUCAGCUCAACUGAGGAACUGCAUCCGAUACUGUUUGUCUUGAGGACGAGAGGGGAGAGUGGAACUUCUGGUGAAGCGGUGAAAUGCGUAGAUAUCAGAAGGAACGCCGGUGGCGAAAGCGACUCUCUGGCUCGUAUCUGACGCUGAGGCGCGAAAGCUUGGGUAGCAAACGGG
rnacentral:rRNA from 1 species